rnacentral:rRNA from 1 species
CCCCAGACUCCUACGGGAGGCAGCAGUGGGGGAUAUUGCACAAUGGGGGAAACCCUGAUGCAGCGACGCCGCGUGUGGGAAGACGGUCUUCUGGAUUGUAAACCACUGUCCCCAGGGACGAAAAUGACGGUACCUGGGGAGGAAGCUCCGGCUAACUACGUGCCAGCAGCCGCGGUAAUACGUAUGGGGCAAGCGUUAUCCGGAUUUACUGGGUGUAAAGGGAGCGUAGGCGGCAGGGCAAGCCUGAUGUGAAAGCCCGGGGCUCAACCCCGGGACUGCAUUGGGAACUGCCCCGCUCGAGUGCCGGAGGGGCAGGCGGAAUUCCUAGUGUAGCGGUGAAAUGCGUAGAUAUUAGGAGGAACACCAGUGGCGAAGGCGGCCUGCUGGACGGUGUACUGACGCUGAGGCUCGAAAGCGUGGGGAGCAAACAGGAUUAGAUACCCCAGUAG